rnacentral:piRNA from 1 species
UCUAACAAAACACUACAAAACAUUGGGGUC